rnacentral:rRNA from 1 species
AUGCAGUCGAGCGGAUGAGAGGUGAGCUUGCUCCCUGAUUUAGCGGCACGACGUGUGAGUAAUGCAUAGGAAGCUGCCCGAUAGAGGGGGAGCCAGUUGGAAACGACUGUUUAUACCGCAUAAUGUCUAAUGACCAUCGGUGGGACCUUCAGGCCAUAUGCUAUCGGAUGCGCCUGCGUGGGAUUAGCUAGUUGGUGGGGUAACGGCUCACCAAGGCUACGAUCCCUAGCUGGCCUGAGAGGAUGAUCAGCCACACUGGGACUGAGACACGGCCCAGACUCCUACGGGAGGCAGCAGUGGGGAAUAUUGGACAAUGGGCGCAAGCCUGAUCCAGCCAUGCCGCGUGUGUGGAGAAGGCCUUCUGGUUGUAAAGCACUUUUUAUGGGGAAGAAGGCUGUUGUGUUUGUAGCACCUUGUUUUGACUUUACCCAUAAAGAAAGCACCGGCUAACUCCGUGCCAGCAGCCGCGGCAAUACGAUAGGGUGCAAGCCUUAAAAUCGAAUUACUGGAAGGAAAGCGCACGCGGCGCGGCUUUUUAAGUCGUGAUGUGAAAGCCCUCGGCUCGACCUGUGAAUUGCAUCUGAUACUGGUAAGCUAGAGUAUGUGAGACGGGGGUAUAAUUCCAAGUGUAGAAAUGAAAUGAUAGACAUUUGGAGGAAUACCAGUGGCGCAGGCGGCCCCCUGGCAUUGACAUUGACGCU